rnacentral:rRNA from 1 species
AGUGAACGCUGGCGGCGUGCCUAAUACAUGCAAGUCGAACGCAUGGGGGACGGGUGAGUAACACGUGGGUAACCUCCCAUCAGGGGGGAUAACACUUGGACACAGGUGCUAACCCGAAACUGAUGGAUCGACCUGCGGUGCAUUAGCUAGUUGGGGAGGGAACGGCUCACCAAGGGCACGAUACAUAGCCGACCUGAGAGGGUGAUCGGCCACACUGGGACUGAUACACGGCCCAGACUCCUACGGGAGGCAGCAGUAGGGAAUAUUCGGCAAUGGACGAAAGUCUGACCGAGCAAUGCCGCGUGAGUGAAGAAGGUUUUAGGGUCGUAAAACUCUUUUAGUCGGGAGGCGGUACCUAAAGAGAAAGCACCGGCUAACUACGUGCCAGCAGCCGCGGUAAUAC